GGGGGAUUAGCUCAGUUGGGAGAGCGUCUGGUUUGCAUCCAGAAGGUCACCGGUUCGAGUCCGGUAUCCUCCACCA
rnacentral:tRNA from 1 species